UUAUUUUUCAAAUAAUUUGAGACCUCAUCAUGUGUAUUAUUUUAUAAAGUAAAUCUUAACAAGAUGAUGUGAAUGGUUCUGAAACCAAAAUAUAUGUUAUAUGUUGUUCAACAACACAGCACUAUCUAGAAGUACUUAAACUUGAUAGAAUAACCCAGCACCACCACCUGCUGUUUGAUACAGAAAAUUCAACUUAGUGAGCUCACUUUUAGCUUGAUCUAGUUAUAAAUUAUCAUGAGGAUAAAGUGCCAUUAUCAUCCUUAUCUCUCAGAUUUUAAGGUCUUUAAAUAAUGUAUGUCUUGAGCAGAUACAGAUUUUAAAAUAUACCGAUAUUUCAAAGGGAAGAGAUAAACAGAACAAAACAAGGAAAGCCAAAUCAGAUAAAUAAAUACCUUGAAUUUGAGCACUCUAUUGUACUCUAAAGAUAAGAGACUGAAUUAUCCUACUAAGGAAUCCCAUAAGCUUUUCAUCUUAGUGAUUUCAGAGACUAUACACGUCUUUCCUCUGUGUAUUUAUUACUGGUAACAGGUAUACGACCAAUGUAAUACAGAGGGAAAACACGACUUCUUAAAUUAAGACAAAUUUGGAUUUGAAUUCCAGCCUUUCCACCUGUUAGCUUUAAGCUCAGUCCAAUUAUGCAGCCUCUCUACCCCCCUGCUGCAGAUUUGAAAAAUUGGGAUAUCAACAUGGACCUAGGGUGUUAUAUGAAGCACUGGGGACACAUGUUAGGCACUAAAGAAUGGCAUCUCUGAUGAUAUUAUUUUGUCCACGAUUGACAUAUAUAAGAAAAAUUUUAAAACCUAGGCUUUUACAUUUUUGAAUGAAAGUUGAUUAGCAUGUCCGUUUCUGCAAUGCGUUGCAAUGUGCUUCAGUUAAAUUAACUAGUUGAUUUCAUUUGUAAUCUUUUGAGUUCCCUAUAUAUCCUUGGCAAUAGAAUAGAACAGUAUCACUCAAAUCCCAAAUUUGGGAAGUUCAAAUCAGACCAGACCAUGGACAGAUGAGAGGGUUAUCAUGAGAAGAUGUAAGAGGUUUUGUUUCUCAAAUAAGCAUAAAGUGUGGAACUUGAGUCAGACAGUCAACCUGAUUGAAACAUCAGAUUUACUGCGGACAAGCCUUAUAAUUUCAGCCUACAAUCCAGUUGGGUAUUAUCUUUGACAAGAAGACUCUGAAGGAAGUAGACAGUCCAAACACAUGUUUCAUGGAUAUAUUUGGAUUCAUCCUAUGAUGCAAGGUCACUUUGGAAAGCAUGACUCUGUCCUCAUGCACAAGCUUCCAAAAGAUUUAAAAAAAUGGAUUUUUAUCCUGUUUUCUGAUCUAAUCUCAUAGAAAGUAGUAAUUUUUUGAAACUUCAUUAUUAUCCUUAGGAUAGUAAUACUGUGAAUAAGGUCAUCACUAUGAGCCUUCUGUACAAAUUCAAUUAGAUGAGAAAAAUUAAAUAGAUCUGUAUCAUGGAACUUUUUGGUACUACAUAGAAUUAUACAAUGCAUGGAUGAAAAUAUAAAUAUGGAGAUGGAUGGAUAGAUACAGGGAUGGACAGAUGGAGAGACUUCAGAAAAGAAGUUUAGCAGGGGAAAAACGAAAGCUGUUCCUUACAUUAUAAUUCCAACUAAUAAAGAUAAAAGGAAUGAUAGAAAUAGAAAAUCACUAUUUGGAAACCACCCUCAUAAUAAAGUUUCAGGUAAGAAUUAUCUAUGGAUUUGUGGGUAAAAGUAUAGUUGAAAAGUAGGAUGAUUACAUAAUCUCAGAGUACCUCUCAACACCAUAUUUAUUAAUUGCAAAUGGAAAAUGGUAACUUUAAGUUGGAGAAAACUGGCAGAUAAUACCUUUACUAAGUGGACAAAGUUGAAAUUACCAUCCCACUAAUAGCACAUCGGCAUGAACCAAGAAAGACACAUUAUCCCUGUGGCAUUCCUGCCCCAUAUGCAUAAUUUGAAUUUAAUAACAAGGACAUAUCAGAAAAACCCAAACUGAGAAACAUUUUACAAGAUAACUGGCCUAUAUUCCAAAAACAAAAACAAACAAACUAACAAACAAACCCCAAAUCCUUAAAAGACAGAGAAAAACUGAGGACCUGUUCCAGAUUAAAGCAAGAUAAGGAACAUGAUAAUAAUAUGCAACGUGUGAUCCUGGAUCAGGUAAGAACAUUAGUGGUACAAAUGGAUGAAUUGGGAUAUAUGGCUUCUAGAUUAGAUGCUAGUACUAUUAAUAUUAAUUUCUUCAUUUUAUUCAUUGUAAUGUGGUUAGACAGAAUAUGUAUACUAAUGUAUUUAGAUGGAAAGGGUAUUAUGCCUGAAAAUUACUUUCAAAUAUUUCAUCAAUAGAAUAUUUAAAUAUAUUUUAUCUAUAUUUAUAUUUAUAUCCAUAGCCAUGCCCAGGGGGUCGGGGAGAGGAGAGAGAGAGAGAGAGAAUGGUAAAACAAACAAAGAUGUUAAAAGGUGGGAGAUCUGGGUUAGGAUAUAUUGAAACUCUUUACUAAUUCUGCAAUUCUUGGACAUCUGAAAUUAUUUCAAAAUUAAAAACUGAAAAUGGUAAAAGAAAGAGAAAAAAGGCAAAGAGGAAAAGAAGGAGGCAUGGGAGGAGAAUGGGGGUAGUGAGGGGGAUGAGGAGAAGGGUUUCCCUUUUCAGAAGGUCUUAGAGCAAAAUCCUCUCAUUCCUAACUAUUCUAUAACCUCAACGAUAGAAGCAUCAAUUUAUUGAGUGAGGAAAAUGUGGAUGGGAAAGAAGAAUAAAGAACCAGGAGCUGGAGUUUGGUGGGAUGAACAGCACAUCUAAUUGAAAGCAUUUCCUGAACUGUAAGCUCUGUGAGGAGAAGAAACAGGUUGGUUUUUGCUCACUGGUCUUCAUCUAGCUCUGAUACAAUGCCCGGCACCUAGGAUGUGCUCGGUAAACGUGUAUUAAAGGAAUAAUGUACAAUUUCUAAUUUGUGAUUUGUCCAACUCUUACUCUCCUCUUUUGCAAUGGUCCUGACACAUUCCUAAAUUCUGUUCACUAAACAUACAGGGAUUGUAAGCAUAGAAUUAUUCAAUCCAAGCAACCUUUUCAAGAGAGGAAAACUAACUUAUGUGAGACUGAGAAAUAUGGACUCUGACAUUACUCAGUAAUGAAGCCCAGGCAUAUCUUUGCUGGCCCAUGCUAAGAGGAAGGUCUGUGGUUAACUCACAUUCCUUUUCCCCUACUGAGCACUUGUAAAUUUCCUUGAACAUUAAUUUAAUAUUAAUAGCCUUAAACAGCUGUGGGAGAGUUGUGGUAAAAACAAGGCGGCUGGUAGAGAGCAGUGUCAUAUUUCAAACCCAAAUCCAAGGUCUCAGCAACGUCUAAUUUUUUGGAAUGUGAGUUGUGAAAUUUGAAAUUACUAGAAUAAUUGGAAGUGCCAGAGAACACUGGAUGAGUGGUAAUUAAAGCGGACGUGCAAGCCAGCCUGAGGGGCAAGGUGUGGCAAGAGGUGUCUGCCUCGCAAACUUAAUCUCUAUUCUUGAUGACAUCUGCAUUUUCCUUUAUAUUAGAUGAUAACUAAACCGGCCAAGUCUGAGAAUGCCUGCAAGCCCUCAACCUAAGGCAAUUCCUUAAGUAGAGUUCUCAGGAUGACUUCAAAGGGAUAUCACAUCUCCACACUCUACCAGUAGCUGAUGAAUGCAAGGCUGGGUCCUUCCCUCGCUGCCACCCAAUUCAUACCCCCAGUAACACCUAUGCAAGGGCCUGGAGCACAAGGUUGUAUGCGUAACAGCUAUAGUGGGGUUUUAUUUUGUGGUUAUAUUUUAUUGAAUAGGGUUACUGAGACAUAACUGACAUAAGAUAAUUGCACAAAUUUGUUGGGUAGGAUUUGAUGUUUUAACAUAUAUACACACCAUGUUUGAAUGUAUAUACCCCCCUGACACCAUCACCACAAUGGAGAUACUGAACAAUUCUAUCACCUCCAAAAAAAAGUGUCCUCCUACCCCUUUGUAACCCCUCUCUCUUGCCCCUCCCCAUCUUCCUUUCACACAAGACAACCACUCAUUUGCUUUCUUCCACUAUAUGUUAAAUGUCAUUUGCUAAAAUAGAUAGAAUCAUACUGUCUUAUUUUACACGGCUUCUUUAAUUUAGCAUAAUUAUUUUAUUGACAUUUACAUUCUCCAUGUUGUAGUACAAAUUCCUUUUCACUAUAGACUAACCCUCUAUUUUAUAACACACAACUUGUUUAUCCAUUUAUCUGCUGAACAUGUGGAAUGUUUGUAGCUAUUAAAAAUAGAGCUGAUAGUAAUGUUUACGUAAAAGUGUUUCUAAAAACAUAGCUUUCAUUCCUCUUGAGUAAGUGACUAGGAGUAGAAUAGCUGAGUUUAUGUUUAACUAUUUAAAAAACUUCAAAAUAUUUUCCAAAGUGGUUAUAAUAGUUUUGCAUUCCUAACAUGAGUGUAUGACAUUUCGAAUCCCCCAAGAACUUUGCCAACACUUAGUAUAGCAGGUCUUUUUUUUUUUUUUUUUUUUUUUAGGGAUAUAUUGUUAGCUCAUUGUGGUAUCUCGUUAAUUUGUUAUCUCCAAACUAACUAGUGAUGGUGAGUAUCUUUCAGCGUGUUCCUUUGUCAUCAGUACAUGUUUUAGUGAUUUAUUCAAAUAUUUUGUCCAUUUUUAGUUGGAUUGUUUAUUAUCGUUGUAAGAGUUCAUUUCAGUUCUUUACAAUUCCCCUUAUCCACAGGGAAUAUGUUCCAAGACCUCUGUGGAUGCCUGAAACUGUGGAUACUCCCAAACCCUAUAUAUACUGUUUUUUUUUUCCCUCUACAGUAGUAUCUAUGACAAAUUUAUAAAUUAUAUACAGUAAGAGAUUAACAACAAUAACCAAUAAUAACACAGGACAAUUUUAGCAACACACUCCAAUAAAACUUAUGUGAAUGUGGCCUCUUUCCCUCAAAAUAUCUUAUUGUACUUUAUUCACCCUUCUUGUGACGAUGUGAGACAAUAAAAUACCUACGUGAUGCGAUGAAGUGAGGUGAGUGACGCGGGCACUAUGACAAGGUGCAGGCUACUACUGACCUUCUGACAACAGGUGAGAAGAAGGAUCAUCGCCAUCUGGAUCACCAUUGACUGGUACAAAGUGAAACUGUGGAUACUGGAGGAUUGCUGUGUAUCUUCCGAAGACGUAUCCUUUAUCAUGUAUCAUGAAGCAUAUCAUAUGCACAUAAGUGCUUUGCAAAUAUUCUCUCCCUGACUGUGACUUGCCUUUUCAUUUUCUCAACAGCAUCUUAUGAAGAGUAGAUGUCUUUAAUUUUAAUGAAAAGCAGUUGCUCAAUCUGUUCUUUUAUGGACCAUGCUUUUGUUUUGUUUUGUUUUGUUUUGUUUUGGUGUUGGGAUAGGUGUGAAUUAAGAGGGCUUAUGCAAGGUGCUGAAAAGUGAAGGAAGGUUAAUUCAUCUAAAAUUUUGUGAAAAGUUUGUACCAUAAGUUGUACUCCAGGGCCUAAAAUAUAUUACUUGAUGUGACUACACAGCAAGAGGUCAAUAAUUAGACUGUGACUAGAGUACUCGCUGUUCGUCUUCGUUAUGCCAUGUGUCUGAUUCCAGGGAAGCCAUAAGUAUUGAGGAGUUCCCUAUGCAUGGCAAUUGGUGUCACCUACAAUCAAAUGUGUAGGGAAGAUCAGAAGACCAACUCAAGAGAAAAGAGGAAAUACGACAUGCCUGUUAUUUACAUUAGUUAAGCAAGGGAGAAGUAUGUUUAUGCAAGGAACCCUCACCUGCAAAGACAAUUCAAGUCUUCAGGGGAAUUCAUGGAUCAAGAAAAAUAAUACAUUCUUCCCAUAUUAUAGAAUAUUUCCAUCACUAAAUAUAACUCGAUGCCAACUUCUGCAGUAUCCAUCUGUAUCACAAAAAGCCCAAUAAAUAGUGGAGUUGG